rnacentral:lncRNA from 1 species
AUGGAAUCAUCUGUGUCUCUGUUUGGCAUCGUCUCAUCUGUCUCUUUGUUUAGCAUGGUCUCAUCUGUCUCUCUGUUUAGCAUGGUCUCAUCUGUCUCUCUGUUUAGCAUGGUCUCAUCUGUCUCUCUGUUUAGCAUGGUCUCAUCUGUCUCUCUGUUUAGCAUGGUCUCAUCUGUCUCUCUGUUUAGCAUGGUCUCAUCUGUCUCUCUGUUUAGCAUGGUCUCAUCUGUCUCUCUGUUUAGCAUGGUCUCAUCUGUCUGUCUGUUUAGCAUGGUCUCAUCUGUCUGUCUGUUUAGCAUGGUCUCAUCUGUCUGUCUGUUUAGCAUGGUCUCAUAUGUGUCUCUGCUUAGCAUGGUCUCAUCUGUCUUUCUGUUUAGCAUGGUCUCAUCUGUCUCUCUGUUUAGCAUGGUCUCUCUGUUUAGCAUGGUCUCAUCUGUCUGUCUGUUUAGCAUGGUCUCAUCUGUCUCUCUGUUUAGCAUGGUCUCAUCUUUCUGUCUGUUUGGCAUGUGCUCAUCUAUCUCUCUGUUUAGCAUGGUCUCUCUGUUUAGUAUGGUCUUUCUGUUUAGCAUGGUCUCUCUGUUUAGCAUGGUCUUUCUGUUUAGCAUGGUCUCUCUGUUUAGCAUGGUCUUUCUGUUUAGCAUGGUCUCUCUGUUUAGCAUGGUCUCUCUGCUUAGCAUGGUCUCUCUGUUUAGCAUGGUCUCUCUGUUUAGUAUGGUCUUUCUGUUUAGCAUGGUCUCUCUGUUUAGCAUGGUCUUUCUGUUUAGCAUGGUCUCUCUGUUUAGCAUGGUCUUUCUGUUUAGCAUGGUCUCUAUGUUUAGCAUGGUCUCUCUGCUUAGCAUGGUCUCUCUGUUUAGCAUGGUCUCCCUGUUUAGCAUGGUCGCUCUGUUUAGCAUGGUCUCUCUGUCUAGCAUCGUCUCAUCUGUCUCUUUGUUUAGCAUGGUCUCAUCUGUCUCUCUGUUUAGCAUGGUCUCAUCUUUCUGUCUGUUUGGCAUGUGCUCAUCUAUCUCUCUGUUUGGCAUGGUCUCAUCUGUCUCUCUGUUUGGCAUGGUCUCAUCUGUCUCUCUGUUUGGCAUGGUCUCAUCUAUCUCUCUGUUUGGCAUGGUCUCAUCUGUCUCUCUGUUUAGCAGGGUCUCAUCUGUCUCUCUGUUUAGCAGGGUCUCAUCUGUCUCUCUGUUUAGCAGGGUCUCAUCUGUCUCUCUGUUUAGCAGGGUCUCAUAUGUGUCUCUCUGUUUAGCAGGGUCUCAUCUCUGUCUCUGUUUAGCAGGGUCUCGUCUCUGUUUAGCAGGGUCUCAUCUCUGUCUCUCUGUUUAG